GUGUGUAUUGAAAUGUAAGCAGCCUACCAGACCUCGGAGAUCAGAUGGUCACGGGAUGCAUGACUUCCUGGGAGUCCAUGAAAUCCCUACCACAGGGGUCUCACUCAGGGGAGCGGACACUGGGUUUCUGAACCUCGUCGCUGAAGACGGCCAGGACUUAAGAAGCACAGACUUCCCUGUGCUCGGGUACCCACGGAGGCGGGGGUGCGUGAAGACGCCAGGCUAAAGCAGUGCUGCUUCUUGGAAAAACUGGAAAAAGCUCUCUGGACGACGGGGG
rnacentral:lncRNA from 1 species